rnacentral:lncRNA from 1 species
GUCUGUAGGCCUCCACUAUAAUGUCAUGUCCCCAGUCCGUAGUCCUCCACUAUAAUGUCAUGUCUCCAGUCUGUAGGCCUACACUAUGUUGUAAUAUCUCCAGUCUGCAGGCCACCACUAUGUUGUAAUGUCUCCAGUCUGUAGGCCUCCACUAUGUUGUCAUAUCCCCAGUCUGCAGGCCUCCACUAUGUUGUCAUGACUCCAGUCUGUAGGCCUCCACUAUGUUGUCAUGUCUCCAGUCUGUAGGCCUCCACUAUGUUGUAAUGUCUCCAGUCUGUAGGCUUCCACUAUGUUGCCAUGACUCCAGUCUGUAGGUCUCCACUGUGUUGUCAUGUCUCCAGUCCGUAGGCCUCCACUAUGUUGUCGUCUCCAGUCUGUAGGACCCCACUAUGUUGCAUUGUCUCCAGUCUGUAUUCCUCCACUAUGUUGUCAUGUCUCCAGUCUGUAGGCCUCCACUAUGUUGUCAUGUCUCCAGUCUGUAGGCAUUCACUGUGUUGUCAUGACUCCAGUCUGUAGGUCUCCACUGUGUUGUCAUGUCUCCAGUCUGUAGGUCUCUACUAUGUUGUCAUGACUCCAGUCUGUAGGCCUCCACUAUGUUGUCAUGUCUCCCGUCUGUAGUCCUCCACUAUGUUGUCAUGUCACCAGUCUGCAGGUCUCCAGUCUGUAGGCCUCCACUAUGAUGUCAUGUCUCCAGUCUGGAGUCCUCCACUAUGAUGUCAUGUCUCCAGUCUGUAGGCCUCUACUAUGUUAUCCUGUCUCCAG